rnacentral:lncRNA from 1 species
CCCUAUCUGAAACGCUUUUUCCAAGUCUGUCAUCCAAGCUUUAUGUUCACCUCCAAGAAAGUUCUUGACUGUUCACUUCAGGCAUUUUUGUAAGCACCUCCUCUCCACUAGCCCCGAGGUCUCACAAAUGACCAGAGACCGUCCUGGACCUCCAAGAUCUUAAAGUUGACAGACGAGACAGACACCAUUGAAGAGAACAUAGCGAGCAUUUAUUGCAUCCUUGCUUCAUGCCAGGAACUGUUCUAAUAAACGUCUUCACAGCUGUCUGUCAUAGAUGAGAAGCUGGGGCGCUGCAUGGACAAAAGAGUCUAUCUACCUAAGGUAACACGACAGGGAUUCACCCCGUCAGCCCCUCUAGUUCUCAGGCCUUCGGACUCACAGCAAAUCACAUGACCGGCUUUCCUCGGUCUUCACAGCUUGCAGACAGCAAAUGGUGCUGAGCGAGGCCACUGGGCUAC